rnacentral:rRNA from 1 species
AACGAACGCUGGCGGCAUGCCUAACACAUGCAAGUCGAACGAAACCUUCGGGUCUAGUGGCGCACGGGUGCGUAACGCGUGGGAACCUGCCCUUAGGUUCGGAAUAACUCCCCGAAAGGGGUGCUAAUACCGGAUAAUGUCUUCGGACCAAAGAUUUAUUGCCCUUGGAUGGGCCCGCGUUGGAUUCGCUAGUUGGGAGGGUAAAAGACUACCAAGGCGACGAUCCAUAGCUUGUCAUAGAGGAAGGUUAGCCACACUGGGACUAGGACACGGCCCAGAAUCCUCCGGGAGGGGCGAAGGGGGGACGGUGGAACGCCGGGGGAAGGCUGAAGCCCGUAGGACCGGGAAAUUAUGAAAGGCGUGAGGAUGAAAAGUCUCUUUAACCGGGAAGGUAAUGACGGUACCGGGUGAAAAAGCCCCGGCUAACUCCGUG